rnacentral:rRNA from 1 species
GUCGAACGAGAUCUUCGGAUCUAGUGGCGCACGGGUGCGUAACGCGUAUGCAACUUACCUCUUACUGGGGAAUAACUUUCCGAAAGGAGGGCUAAUACCGCAUAAAAGACAGUGAGGCAUCUCACAAUCUUAAAAGGUUACGGUAGGAGAUGGGCAUGCGUCCCAUUAGCUAGUUGGUAAGGUAACGGCUUACCAAGGCGACGAUGGGUAGGGGAACUGAGAGGUCGAUCCCCCACACUGGUACUGAGAUACGGACCAGACUCCUACGGGAGGCAGCAGUAAGGAAUAUUGGUCAAUGGACGAGAGUCUGAACCAGCCAUGCCGCGUGCAGGAAGAAGGCGUUCCGCGUCGUAAACUGCUUUUAUAUAGGAAGAAAAAGUUUCUGCGGAAAUCAUUGACGGUACUAUAUGAAUAAGCACCGGCUAACUACGUGCCAGCAGCCGCGGUAAUACGUAGGGUGCAAGCGUUGUCCGGAUUUAUUGGGUUUAAAGGGUGCGUAGGCGGAUUAUUAAGUCUUGGGUGAAAUCCUACCGCUUAACGGUAGAACUGCCUGAGAAACUGGUAAUCUUGAGUAUAGUUGAGGUAGCUGGAAUUGGUGGUGUAGCGGUGAAAUGCAUAGAUACCACCAGGAACCCCUAUUGCGAAGGCAAGUUACUAAGCUAUAACUGACGCUGAUGCACGAAAGCGUGGGGAGCGAACAGGAUUAGAUACCCUGGUAG